rnacentral:lncRNA from 1 species
GCUUUUCCUUAUGAACAGGAGUUUGAAUAAUCACUUUUUCCUCUGUCUUUUUUUAGCCACCAUGGUGAAUUCGGAGCAUGCUCGCUUCUCCUGGCCAGCGGUUGUAGCAUCCUUGCUUCUGUUAUGCACUUUCCUAAUCAUUUUAGGAAUCAGAAAAUGGUGUCAGUACCAAAAAGAAAUUAUGAAUAGACCUCCAUCUUUCAAGCCACCACCCCCUCCAAUAAAGUACAUAUCCAUGGUGGAAUCUGAUGGAACUACUGCAUCCUGCCAUGAACUAGAAAAUUUGUAAUGUUUCUUGGAGUAUUCCUGAACCAUCACUGAAGAAGAUUAAAUCUUGUUACUGUGUAGGCUUUUUAAAAUGUAGAUUGCUGGAGUUCAGUGUUAAUGACUUAUUUUUAAAUUCAAGUUUCUAAAUUGACAAGGACAGAAGCAAAGCACUUUUUUCACCCAUUCAUCUGACAGAUAAAGGUCUAAUUGCAGCCUGUUGGAGAUGACAGGUGCUCAUCUUGAACUGAGUGAUCAGCUGGGAAUAAUGGGAGUAUAUUGGUGCACGUGUCACUUCACUAAUCUGCUUAGAAAAAAAAUGUUGAAGCACUUUCUUUUAGUAUGCCUACAAUGAUGAUUGCUUUAAGCAUAUGGCAGAUAUAAUUCUCCACCGUCUUGGUAACACUUUGAUUAGAUGCAAGCUUUGUAGCAUGUGAAUGUACAUUUUGGGAUUUUUUUUUUAAACUAUAAUCUCUUUACUAUAUAAAUACUAGUGAGGUUAGUUAAUGUUAACCCUAAGGAACAAGAACAAUCAUUGUACGACGAUAGUCCACAAAUAUCAUGACUGACAUCCAACAUGGACUCAUUGGGAAAAGCUGAAGAAGAGGCCACUGUUUCCUUCUUACAUGAUCUGCUAAGAAGACCUUGCAGCAUAUCUUGAGGCUGCCAGACCAAGGAGGCUAUCUAGCAAGCUAUCUUGAAUGGGAGACCUAAGGAAUAAAACACGUAACAAUCCAAGGGGAUGAUGAUAGAAACAGUGACUAAUUCCAGAGACAAUAGCUGUUGAAAAAUAACAGUUGUUUAAAGGUAAACAUAUUUCCAUGAAGUAUAUUUAUACAUCAACUAUAUUGAUCUCAGUAGAUUUUAAAAAAGAAACAUGGUUCUUCAUCUUUCACGCUUCAGGUCUAAAUAUGAGCAGGGAGAACCCUGCUAAGUCAUACACAUAGCUCUUUCUGGAUUUUAUAAACGUAUUUUAAUAUUGAAAACAGUUUUCAGAUACGUAAGAACUCAAGCGUCGACUGGGAACAGUACAAUUAAUGUAAGAAAACACCAUCAUGAUAAAGUGUGUGUUUCUCACGGAGCCAACUUCAGACAUGUUGGAGUUGAAAAUGAUGUGCUGGUUUUGUGAUGGGAUAUGCACUGCUUUCUGAAAUAGAAGUGGAAAAUGAGUGUCAUGAAGUUUACAAAUGUUGUGUUCUUCAUAGACAAAUGAGUAAUUAUUGUGUUCUUAAUUAUUAACAUGUAUGUUUUUAUUUCUAUUUUAAUUAAAUGUCUG